CGUAGUACGCCAAAAAGUUGACUUGCGACAAACUUUUUAUUUUGAUACGCGAAUACACCCGGAAGUACGUGGAUUUAUAAACCUCUUUUCAAUCUGCGCAUGCUCACCAGUACGUUUCGGUACGAUACGGGCGAAGUGGAAAACUGGCUUAAGGGCGGCAGGUACAAAACGCAGGUUGCAGGUUGGAAUUUUGCAGGUUGCGAAUUUUGCAGGUUGG